GCUUACGGCCACACCGCCUGGUUCACGCUUGAUCUCGGAAGCUAAGAUAGGUUGGGCCUGGUUAGUACUUGGAUGGGAGACCGCCUGGGAAUACCAGGUGCUGUAAGCU
ensembl:rRNA 5S_rRNA 5S ribosomal RNA